AACGCGAAGAACCUUACCUACCCUUGACAUGUACCGAAGCCCGCCGAGAAGUGGGUGUGCCCGAAAGGGAACGGUAACACAGGUGCUGCAUGGCUGUCGUCAGCUCGUGUCGUGAGAUGUUGGGUUAAGUCCCGCAACGAGCGCAACCCUUGUCAUUAAUUGCCAUCAUUUAGUUGGGCACUUUAAUGAAACUGCCGGUGACAAACCGGAGGAAGGUGGGGAUGACGUCAAGUCCUCAUGGCCCUUAUGGGUAGGGCUUCACACGUAAUACAAUGGCGCGUACAGAGGGUUGCCAACCCGCGAGGGGGAGCUAAUCUCAGAAAGCGCGUCGUAGUCCGGAUCGGAGUCUGCAACUCGACUCCGUGAAGUCGGAAUCGCUAGUAAUCGCGGAUCAGCAUGUCGCGGUGAAUACGUUCCCGGGCCUUGUACACACCGAUACUC
rnacentral:rRNA from 1 species